rnacentral:rRNA from 1 species
UACGUAGGUGGCAAACGUUGCUCGGAAUCAUUGGGCGUAAAGCGCACGUAGGCGGUCCAGCAAGUCGGGUGUGAAAGCCCUCGGCUUAACCGAGGAAGUGCAUUCGAAACUACUGGACUUGAAUACUGGAGAGGAUCGCGGAAUUCCCGGUGUAGAGGUGAAAUUCGUAGAUAUCGGGAGGAACACCAGUGGCGAAGGCGGCGAUCUGGACAGAUAUUGACGCUGAGGUGCGAAAGCGUGGGGAGCAAACAGG